rnacentral:tRNA from 1 species
GGCGGUGUGGCUCAGCGGUCAGGGAACUGGGCUCGUAACUCAAAGGUCAUGAGAUUGAUUCCCACCCAGGACA